UAGGAGGAGCGUAUGCUGGCAGAGAGGGAGAAGUGCUUUGGCUGCCCUUUUUGAGGAGAGGUUUUGGCCUGGGGAACAGAGGUUCAUCUUUUUGGGGGGGAAAAAACAGAGAUGUGAUUCUGUUAGCUAGCCUAGGGAGAUAUUUUCGCAAGACGUUAGUGAGGGGGGUGUAUUCAGUUUCUGAGAGAUAUGUGAGAGAUUUUCAUUUUCUGGUCAUGGUUUGAGAGGAAGAACCAUAAGGGGAGACGAUCUCUUGGAGAGCAGUCUUUUGAGAGGGAUUUUUUGAGUGGACCAUUUGCUAGAGACAAAGCAGUGAGCUGAAGCCCCAGACACUUGGUUGAGGAAGAGACUUUCAGGUAUGGUUAUCAUGGUUUUCCCGUAUAUUUUCAUCUUGCAGGUAUUCCCUUUGCGUCAUUCUCUGUAAUUUUAACUCUGCUUGUUGGUUUGUGUUGGUUUGGUGAUUAUUGGUUUAAUAUUUGAAUGACUUACUGCAUUUUGUGCUCUAAUCAUGUAAACAUUUUCCGUUUUUGACCCACUGAUUGAUGGACCCAUGGAUAAAAUAAUGAAGUGGGUUCAACACGUUUGUUAAAGGUUUCAUGUUCAUUUCCUGUUGCUAUUCUCUUGCUCCCCUGUUUUCCCCCGAAUGUAUACUCAAGGCUUUAAGAUUAGGAGGAACUGGUUGAAGCUGAACCUGGCAGUCUAUAGUAAGAUGGUUGAUGGGCUCUGUUUCUCACAUUGAUUCAUCCUGGAGGCUUAUUCUCACUCUUGGUGGGAAGUAGAUGAUUUACUGCUAAAAUGAGACAGACGCCAUGACGCCAAUGUGCUCCGAAAUAAAGUUUCGAAAGUGUCAAUAUAGUUGAAAGACCCGCCAGUCUGGGCUGGUGCAAGGGCUUGACCCCUUUUGAGGUCCUAAACCCGAUCAAUAAACCCGAAAGACUCUCGGACAAGCCACUACAUCCUCUUCUGUAGGAUGUGCAUGAGAUUGAUGGUAUUGGAAGUGUACCAAUGGGAUGUGCCAAAGCUGGUGCCUUAAAGUCCAGUAUGGUAGUGACUUUUGGCCCUUCUGAACUCACAAUGGAAUUCAGGCCCAACAAGACGCACCAUCAGUCCCUUUUAGAAGCCGUGCUUGAUGAUAUAUUAAGCUUCAAUGUGAAAAAUACUGUUAUGAAUGAUCUAGAACGUGGCUUUGUCACAUUUAGCUCCAAAUGUCGCUCCUAUAAAGGGAAUGGCCUAUUUCACUA